AUCUCUGAAAAUUCCAAAAUAAGUUUUGAUCGCUGAAAAUUCCCCAAAGUUUCAGCCCCAAAAUUCCCCCGCCCCCACCCAAAAAAAAAAAACCUCUCUGCAAAUCCUUAGAAGUUAAAAUCCUUCCUUUAGAUCUUAGAUUCUACCCAGAAAAACCAAAAACAAUAGAAAUCCAAUAGAAAAACCCAAAAAAAAAUAUAGUUACUAUUCCAUUGAAAUUUUUAUUUCCGGUAGUUCAAGGUCUGUUAAUUGCACCUACUGAUUUCGACUAGUUUUGGGUUUAAUUGAGUUAAUUGUUGAGGAUUCAGAGGUCUACUGAUUCAAUUAAUUUUGCUGGAAUUCCUGAUUCAAGUUCAUCUGCAUUUACUCAUUUGUUUUGGGUACUGUACACUCCUGGGCUGUUGAAUCUGUUGGACUGCAUUUAGAUUGCUGCUGACUACUUCGUUUUCAUUUUACCUUUCAAAUAUUCAGCCUAUGAUCAGUGACCAACUUUUGCAAAAACACCAGUUAGUUGGAAGUCUACUUUGCAGUCAACGAUUGCUUUGUCUACAACAGAGGCAGAGUAUAUGACUAUUACAGAGGCUGUGAAGGAGGCAAUUUGGCUUCAAGGGUUGCUAAAAGAGCUUGGUGUUGAACAAAAAAGUAUCACAAUUUUUUGUGAUAGUCAAAGUGCUAUUCAAUUAGCAAAGAACCAAGUUUAUCAUGCAAGGACGAGGCAUAUUGAUGUUCGGUAUCAUUUCGUACGAGAAAUCAUAGAAUAAGGUGGAGUCACGGUGAAGAAAAUUCAUACUACAGAGAAUCCUGCUGAUAUGCGGAGAAAAGUGGUGACUGCGAUCAAGUUUCAACAUUGUUUGGAUUUGAUCAACAUUGUUGAACACUGAAGAUUGAAGAUGAAAACACAACCAAAAUUUGUUAUAGAGAGAAAAUUGAAGAUGUGGAAUUUUGCCAAGGUGGAGAUUUGUUGAAGUUUGGCAAAGUCCCACAUCGGUGGGUUCUUGAUUUAGUUUGGGAAUUUUUCCCUAUAAAAAGAGGCCUAAUGUUUAGGAUUUAAACACACCUCUCAUUUGCCUUCUUAUCUUCUUAAGGCAUUUGUAUCUUCUCUCUUUAGUAUUAUUUCACUUGUAUUUUUUGGAGUGGAAUAAAAUAUUGGUUGUGUCCGAGAAGUAGGCAAAAUUAGCCGAACCUCGUAAAUUCUGGUGUUCCUUUUAUUGUUGUUUUAUUGUCUUAUUUAUUAUUUGGUGGCUGCCAUAAUUUUUGGUAUAGUAGUUUUGACUUAUUCACACUAAUACAUUUGGCUUCCGCAACACGAACCUCCUAUCAUUUGUAUACCAACUUGCCUCUGGUGCAGCCCCGUAUCAUUAUCAUUUACUAAACCAGAGUUGAUCAGCCUGUUUAUUGUUGAGAGCAGCCAAGAAUGUUCUUCCUGCUGACGGAGAGAAAGUUCUUCCUGUUGACGGACAGAACACUGGAUUUACAAAGUUUAAUUGUCAGUUAUAGAUUUGGUUUUAGUAGAGGAACAAUGACGAGGCUACCUGCAUGGACAUUGGACCCGAGUCGGUUAUAUAGACUGCAGGCCCAACAUUAACUACGGCAUUACUCUAAAAACAAUAACAGGCAUGGUCAUGUUAUUAAGAGAAAAUAAUCCAUUUAGUAGAGAGCAAAUUAAGUAUAAUACCCCAUUGUCACCCAUUCGGACUCCCAUCACUGUGCGGCCAAGUUCAAGAAAAUAUGCACCUAGAUUGCUGAACAUUGUUCCGAUUGUUGUCUGUGCAUUUGACUGGGUUCCCUGGCGCACCCUCGGAUCACCUACGUUCAGAUUUUGGCUCAGAUGCUGCUGCAAUUCCUAUGCCAACAGAAAAUCCAACCAGUCAAAAAAUUUCGGCUGAUCUUAGAAUAAAUUAUUACAAGUCUUGCGUAGGGGCGUCCAGAAGGCAACCAGAAGUAAGAAAUAACAGUCAUUCUUUUCUUUCACAAAUCAAGCAAAUGAAAAUAGACGACGCUGUCAAUGAUAUUCGCAUGCAUCCACCAAAAUCCACAUCCAUUUAAUGUCUCUCGUCCUCCUCUCUCGACCACUCUUUUUAUUUCUUUGUAUAAAUUAUUGUAUCCUUUUUCCCUCUAGUACAUUUCAUCUUAAUUUGAGGGACAUAUGUAUAUACCUAACGAACAAAUAUCCAAUCCAGCUAUGCAUAUCGUUGAAGUCAAUAAACAACAAAAGAA